rnacentral:sRNA from 2 species
CCUCUUCUUUUUACACCUGCAGACUUGUGAAAAAGUCACAGAAUGGUUUUUUCUUCUUAAAGACAAUGAUUGUGAUCUUGCUAUCAUCAAGUUAUAUACACUCUCCUCUCACAUCCUCCAUCUGUCAACUUUCCACUGUAGUCUCAAGUCUACAGAAAUAUGCUAGUAUCAUUGCUUUCAUGUUUGAACUUUUAGUGAUGUUAGUGGAAACUUUCCCCUUACUUUCCUAGGCUUACUGUGUAAGGGGAAAAAAAAAGAAAAAUUGCACAAAAUCCAUCCGCCAAGUAUUGAUUGAUCGACCACUACCCUUACUUUCCUAGGCUUACUGUGUAAGGGGAAAAAAAAAGAAAAAUUGCACAAAAUCCAUCCGCCAAGUAUUGAUUGAUCGACCACUAACUAGGACCCUUGGCACAUCAGUGUGAUCCUCGCGUCCACUAUCGGCCCCUCUCUAAAGAGUUGAUACCAGGCUCGUAUUGUGUGCGGUUUCGUGAAUGAAAUCGUAACACAACAUAUAGGAAUGUCCCGAGGACCAAUAAUAAAUCGAAAAUAAGCGUUAUUUGCAGUUUUUCUUGGUGAUACAAAUGAACAAUUUUAUCAAUCAAUCACCGAUCAGCCAAAAUUGUUAGGAAUAACAAAUUAAUUACAGAUCAUGUGGUGACCAUUUCGUGAAUAUAUAUAUAUAUAUAUGUCAAUAAUAAGCACGGAUUUUAUUAGCUUCGAACAUCCAUUUCCAGGCUAACAUUGUUAUUGGGAGUCAAAGCAGUUCAUCCUGCGCUAGAUACGCUGGAAAUGGCUUAAUCGUACAAGCAAGAAUCGGUGACUUGCUAUUCUUCAUUAUAUGGGCCAUGGUCAAAAUCAUACAGCC